CAGCACCCAACUCUACCCCGGAGACCCUGCAAACUUCAAGUUGAAUCCAACAAGAUUUGAAUGGUCGAGUGUGUCAGAUCUGUCGAGAUACUGUCGGGAUUAUGGAGAAAGGCGAAGUCUUUAUUGAUUGUGAUGCGCGUGCAUUUCUGGUUUGUUGACCCAAUAUAAAAGACUCAAAAGGGAGUCCAAGAGUUGAGAGAGAUGAUAAAGAGGAUGAUAGUGGUGUUGGUCAAGAUGAAGUUGCAACUGCAGGUGGACUGAUUGGCCUGAGAUGCAGUAGCAAUUUGCAGGGACUGAGUUGUUGAGUGGAACUGGAGUUGUGUUUGAAAUGCAGUUAGGAGAUUAAGAUUGAAAGUCAUGAGCAGAUGGUGUUUGAGACUGUGGUGCUGAGAAGAUGAUUACAGGUGGUGAACAAAAUGAAUGGUUGCUGCAAUGGUUAGUUUAAAUUUAGAGAUGCAGUCAAGGAGGAGAUGCUGCUGGUGUUCUAAUUGGUUCUGUCGAGGCAGUGGAGCAGGUGCUGGUGCUGUUGUGCAGUGGCUGUGAACUGAGAUUGAAUGGUUGCAAUGGGUUUACUAUGCGAGUUGUCUCACUAUAUAUAUAUAUAUAUCCAUCUUUGCAGUCUGAUGUUAAUUCAAAGGACGAUCUGAAGUCGGAUGUUGAGGAGGAAUGCUGGAAACUUGGUCCAGUGGAGCUAGUUAAGGUAUGCGAGAACCAUCCUCAGGGAGUUAGAGUUAGAUUUAAAGAUACCAAGGAUGCUCACAAGUGUAUAGAGCUAAUGAAUGGAAGAUGGUAUGCAAGAACCAUCCUCAAGGAGUUGUUCUGGUGAUAUUUAAAGAUUCAUAAGAUGCUCACAAGUGUACAGAGCUAAUGAAUGGAAGAUGGUAAGUGUUGCAACACUUUUGCAUUCAAAAUUCUUUUUAUCGUUGUGGUUGUUAGAGUUGGACAGUAAACUAAGUGAGCCUUAUUGAAAUCAAGAGUACCUCAUAUGUAUACCUUGUGCAGAUACUCAAAUAGUUGUUUACUUCUCUUCUUCUGUGAUUAUCUUAAAUGUUGGUCGUAUGUAUGAUUGAAAAUAU